UACGGAGGGUGCAAACGUUGCUCGGAAUCAUUGGGCGUAAAGCGCACGUAGGCGGCCUGUUAAGUCGGGUGUGAAAGCCCUGGGCUCAACCCAGGAAGUGCACUCGAAACUGGCGGGCUUGAAUAUGGAAGAGGGUCGCGGAAUUCCCGGUGUAGAGGUGAAAUUCGUAGAUAUCGGGAGGAACACCAGUGGCGAAGGCGGCGACCUGGGAAGAUACUGACGCUGAGGUGCGAAAGCGUGGGGAGCAAACAGG
rnacentral:rRNA from 1 species